UACGAAGGGGGCUAGCGUUGCUCGGAAUCACUGGGCGUAAAGGGUGCGUAGGCGGGUCUUUAAGUCAGGGGUGAAAUCCUGGAGCUCAACUCCAGAACUGCCUUUGAUACUGAAGAUCUUGAGUUCGGGAGAGGUGAGUGGAACUGCGAGUGUAGAGGUGAAAUUCGUAGAUAUUAGGAAGAACACCGGUGGCGAAGGCGGCCCACUGGACCGACACUGACGCUGAGGCGCGAAAGCGUGGGGAGCAAACAGG
rnacentral:rRNA from 1 species